rnacentral:rRNA from 1 species
UCGAGCGGAUGAAGGGAGCUUGCUCCUGGAUUCAGCGGCGGACGGGUGAGUAAUGCCUAGGAAUCUGCCUGGUAGUGGGGGAUAACGUCCGGAAACGGGCGCUAAUACCGCAUACGUCCUGAGGGAGAAAGUGGGGGAUCUUCGGACCUCACGCUAUCAGAUGAGCCUAGGUCGGAUUAGCUAGUUGGUGGGGUAAAGGCCUACCAAGGCGACGAUCUAUAACUGGUCUGAGAGGAUGAUCAGUCACACUGGAACUGAGACACGGUCCAGACUCCUACGGGAGGCAGCAGUGGGGAAUAUUGGACAAUGGGCGAAAGCCUGAUCCAGCCAUGCCGCGUGUGUGAAGAAGGUCUUCGGAUUGUAAAGCACUUUAAGUUGGGAGGAAGGGCAGUAAGUUAAUACCUUGCUGUUUUGACGUUACCAACAGAAUAAGCACCGGCUAACUUCGUGCCAGCAGCCGCGGUAAUACGAAGGGUGCAAGCGUUAAUCGGAAUUACUGGGCGUAAAGCGCGCGUAGGUGGUUCAGCAAGUUGGAUGUGAAAUCCCCGGGCUCAACCUGGGAACUGCAUCCAAAACUACUGAGCUAGAGUACGGUAGAGGGUGGUGGAAUUUCCUGUGUAGCGGUGAAAUGCGUA